AGUGAACGCUGGCGGUAGGCCUAACACAUGCAAGUCGAACGGCAGCACAGUAAGAGCUUGCUCUUACGGGUGGCGAGUGGCGGACGGGUGGGGAAUACAUCGGAAUCUACUUUUUCGUGGGGGAUAACGUAGGGAAACUUACGCUAAUACCGCAUACGACCUACGGGUGAAAGCAGUGGAUCUUCGGACCUUGCGCGAUUGAAUGAGCCGAUGUCGGAUUAGCUAGUUGGCGGGGUAAAGGCCCACCAAGGCGACGAUCCGUAGCUGGUCUGAGAGGAUGAUCAGCCACACUGGAACUGAGACACGGUCCAGACUCCUACGGGAGGCAGCAGUGGGGAAUAUUGGACAAUGGGCGCAAGCCUGAUCCAGCCAUACCGCGUGGGUGAAGAAGGCCUUCGGGUUGUAAAGCCCUUUUGUUGGGAAAGAAAAGCAGCAGGUUAAUACCCCGCUGUUCUGACGGUACCCAAAGAAUAAGCACCGGCUAACUUCGUG
rnacentral:rRNA from 1 species